CGCACAUUGCGCCCCUUGGUAUUCCGAGGGGCAUGCCUGUUCGAGCGUCAUUAUAACCACUCAAGCUUUGACUUGGUAUUGGGGUUCGCGGUUCCCCGCGGCUCUUAAAAUCAGUGGCGGUGCCGUCUGGCUCUAAGCGUAGUAAUUUUCUCGCUAUAGGGUUCGGCGGUGGCUUGCCAAAACUCUUUAUUUCUACGGUUGACCUCGGAUCAGGUAGGGAUACCCGCUGAACUUAA
rnacentral:misc_RNA from 1 species